GAUCAUGGCUCAGGAUGAACGCUAGCGACAGGCUUAACACAUGCAAGUCGAGGGGCAGCACAGGUAGCAAUACCGGGUGGCGACCGGCGCACGGGCGAGUAACGCGUAUGCAACUUGCCUAUCAGAGUGGGAUAACCCGGCGAAAGUCGGACUAAUACCGCAUGAAGCAGGGGCCCGCCAUGGGAGGUAUUUAGUUCUAAAGAAAUUACUAUCGCUCGAUAGAUAGGCGAU
rnacentral:rRNA from 1 species